rnacentral:rRNA from 1 species
AGAGUUUGAUCAUGGCUCAGGAUGAACGCUGGCGGCAUGCCUAAUACAUGCAAGUCGAACGAAGUGCUUUAUGCACUUAGUGGCGAAUGGGUGAGUAACACGUAUUUAAUCUACCUAAUAGUGAGGGACAACAGUUAGAAAUGACUGCUAAUACCGCAUAGUAUAUUUUAUGGCAUCAUAAAAUAUUUAAAGGGGCUUCGGCGUCGCUAUUAGAUGAGGAUGCGGCGUAUUAGCUUGUUGGUAAGGUAAUGGCUUACCAAGGGAAUUAUACGUAGCCGGCCUGAGAGGGUGAACGGCCACAUCGGGACUGAGACACGGCCCGGACUCCUACGGGAGGCAGCAGUAAGGAAUUUUUCACAAUGGACGAAAGUCUGAUGGAGCAAUGCCGCGUGAUUGAUGACAGCCUUAGGGUUGUAAAAAUCUGUUAUAGAGAAAGAAUUGUCAGUAUAGGAAAUGAUAUUGGCUUGACGGUACUUUAUCAGAAAGACCGGGAAACUAUGUGCUAGCAGCCGCGGUAAUAUAUAGGUGUUAAGCGUUAUCCGGAUUUAUUGGGCGUAAAGAGUGCGCAGACGGUAUGAUAAGUUUGAGGUUAAAGGCUAGGGCUUAACCCUAGUUCGCCUUGAAAACUGUCUUACUAGAGUGUGGUAGAAGUUGAUGGAAUUUCAUGUGUAGCGGUGGAAUGCGUAGAUAUAUGAAGGAACACCAGUGGCGAAGGCGAUCAACUAUGCUAUUACUGACGUUCAUGCACGAAAGCGUGGGGAGCAAAUAGGAUUAGAUACCCUAGUAGU